UGUAAAAGUAGCGUAAUGAAUUCUUAACGGAUGGAAGCGUGGAAGAGGGGUGCAAAGCCCCCGCUGCCCCGCAGCCGUAAAGGGAACGAAAGCCCGAUCGCCGCAAGGCGAUAACGCCACUGGGAAUACCUGGGAAGGCGGGCAAGUAGGUCGCCCUGAGUCGGAAUACCGCUCCAUUCGCUCGCUUCGGG
rnacentral:ncRNA from 2 species